rnacentral:ncRNA from 1 species
UCGAGCCGUAUGAAGGGAAACUCCCACGUACAGUUUGUUUUGGGGGGGAAGGAGCCCGACAGGGUCCCCUCACUGACUUCGC